UACAAUUUAUUCAAAUAUAGUAUCAAAACUUAUAUAACACAGAGAUUUGAUAAAUUUUUAAUUGUUGAAUACUUUUUUUUGUGCUAAUUUUUAUGUGAUUAAGAUUUAAUUGAUUUCAUAUAUAAAAUAUUAAAUUGACUUAUUUGUUUAUAAUUUGAUAACAGAUAGAUAUUUGAAUAUUCAGUAUAUUUUGCUUCAGUUUAGGAAAUCUUUGAUGACCCGUCUUUAGAUCCAAUAAGCUCUAUAAUCUAGAGAUUAAUCUGCAGUAUACCGCAGGUAGGCUUAUAUUUUAGUUAAACUAAAAACUUUUAUUGUAAAGAUGAUUUAAAAAUAUAUGAUAUUAUUUUAUUUGAUUUUAAAUGUAUAGUAAACUGUGAGUUGUAUAUGUUUUGUUGAUAUUAUCUAUAUUGUUUAGUGUUUAAGAUUAUACACUUGUAGUUUGAUUGUUAAUUUAAGAGUUUUACAUGUAGUACACCAUCUUAUAUUAAUAUCGAUCUAAACCCGUCAAUUCUAUAAUUUUCCAGCUUGUAUUAAAAAUUGAAUCACAUCUAAUAUGUUAUUAACUAUUGUAGUAUAUAAAAUUAUAAAUUUUCAAUAUAAUAUGUAUGAAAUUAAAUAUAAAUAUUUUAAAUUUAUGUCCCGUUACUCAGUAGAAAGUUUUCUUAAAUCUAUUUUUCACCCGUUAUAAUAUUAUUUCAUGUAUUGAACAGUUUAUAUUCGUUUUUAAAAAUUCAAAUUAUGGCAUAUGCAAAAAAACUCUAAUUAUUUUUUUAUAAUGAUGAUAUUAUUUUUCCGUAAAAAUAGAAUCCUAUAAACAUGAGAAGUGAACUAUAAUAAUUAAUAAAAAAUUAAUAUGAUAAUUUAGAUACCAAAUAUAAUUUGUUGAUUUUAAUUGGUUACUUUUUUGGAAAUUAAUAAUGUAUUUCGUUUUUUUAAUUAAAUUAAAUUAAUUAAAAUUUAGAUAUCAAAUCUUAUAUGUUGAUU
rnacentral:sRNA from 1 species